rnacentral:rRNA from 1 species
UACGGAGGGUGCAAGCGUUAUCCGGAUUCACUGGGUUUAAAGGGUGCGUAGGUGGGCUGGUAAGUCAGUGGUGAAAUCCCCAAGCUUAACUUGGGAACUGCCAUUGAUACUAUCAGUCUUGAAUACCGUGGAGGUUAGCGGAAUAUGUCAUGUAGCGGUGAAAUGCUUAGAUAUGACAUAGAACACCAAUUGCGAAGGCAGCUCACAAAACUAUAACUGACACUGAGGCUCGAAAGUGCGGGGAUCAAACAGG